rnacentral:sRNA from 1 species
CCUGAUCCGGAGCCGAGCUCUGCCAGCGGAUCAGGUGUGUCACCCACCACUGGCAGAGGCGGGGGAACCACAAGCGGCUGUCUAAAGAAGCAGCCUUGGGGUGAAGUCCGCAGCAGAAGUGCCCACGUAUACAAGUCCCUCUUGGGAUACCUGUGUGCCGUGAGCGCCUCGUGCGGACCGGGUCGUUUGUACUCUCUGACCCGAAUCCGACAGCUAACUUCGCAGGCUUUUGAGAGAGGAACA